AAAAAAGUUUACCCACCAUUCAAUUGAUAGACGGAUGAUCACUACAUUAAGCACGAGCAUCUUAAUAAGGUGAGGACGGAAGAGUGCAGCUUCAGUUGCCCUCGAACUAUUAUGGGGAAAUUAGGCCCUAUACUCUACAAAGUGACCCAAUUAGAUUAAUACUCUAAAUUACUUAAACAUUACAUAAACCCGUAUUUAUUACGUUCUAAAUUAAAACAAAACCCUCAAAUCUCAAAACCUCCCAACCGAGUACAGAGAUCACAAAUGCCCUGUACACUACUAUUGCAGUUGCCAUGUCGCUGCUACAGCGACAGUGAUGGUGCUACGUCGAUUAGGUUAAUGUCUCUGCUUUUCGUGUUUUGGUCGACGAGGGAUGGUGUGGUGAUGUCUAUUGGAAUAGCCAACACUAGAUUGGGUUUUUGUUGGCUAGGUGUGCGGCAGUGGACGAACUACUAUAGACGAUUGAGGUGCUAAGACGAGGGUGGUCGGAAGCCGGCUAAUUUAAGCGGCUCGCUAGAAAUGUUUUCUCGAGCUAUAUGGAAAGACCUACUCCAGGUGCGUUGUGUGAGUGCUGCCGUGAAAAUGGAUUUCAUUUAUGGAAUUGAAUGAUAUCAUUUAUGUUGACGCCACCAAUUUUUACAGUUACCUUAAACGUGGCAUAUUAAUCUACUGUGGAAUUUUUAAUAGCCAAUAUUUUCUUCAUCUUCUUUGUAUUUUGCUUUGGGGGCAAGCAGGAGAGAGAGAAAAAAGUGGAAAGCUUGGCUGCAAUAGGUAGAGAAAAGAGGUUUGCGAUGUGAAAUUCACAUAAAGACAUGAAACUUUAUGGUUGGACACAUUGCAACUGCUGCAAAAUUAGAUGAUGUGGAUCAAUAAAUUGUUGUUAAUUACUAAAUUCUUUGGAUCUCUAUCCCCAAGAAGAUGAAGCAUACACAGAUUUUGAAUGCAUUUUACUUAUUAUGAAGUACCUAACAGUUUUUCAUACUCUCUGCCUGAAAUGCAGGUUGUUAGUUGAUAUUGCAAAAAUGAGGCAAAAAAAAAAGGAGGCAGAAAUGGUUCUUUGAGGCUCGGAUAUUGAAGUGGUGGUGAUGGAGAAGAUGGAGUUGUAGAAGUUGAAUAAAAUGAUAUAACUUAAGGUUUUGACUAGUGUUUUGUCACUUUUUUUUUUUUUAAAAUU
rnacentral:lncRNA from 1 species